rnacentral:rRNA from 1 species
GACGAACCGAGCGAACGUUGUUCGGAAUCACUGGGCUUAAAGGGCGCGUAGGCGGGCGGCUAAGUCUGUCGUGAAAUCCCCCGGCUCAACCGGGGAACUGCGAUGGAUACUGGCGGCCUCGAGGAACGUAGGGGUAUGCGGAACUAUCGGUGGAGCGGUGAAAUGCGUUGAUAUCGAUAGGAACUCCGGUGGCGAAGGCGGCAUACUGGACGUUUUCUGACGCUGAGGCGCGAAAGCCAGGGGAGCAAACGGG